UGGGGAAUAUUGCACAAUGGGCGCAAGCCUGAUGCAGCCAUGCCGCGUGUGUGAAGAAGGCCUUCGGGUUGUAAAGCACUUUCAGCGGGGAGGAAGGCGGUGAGGUUAAUAACCUCAUCGAUUGACGUUACCCGCAGAAGAAGCACCGGCUAACUCCGUGCCAGCAGCCGCGGUAAUACGGAGGGUGCAAGCGUUAAUCGGAAUUACUGGGCGUAAAGCGCACGCAGGCGGUCUGUCAAGUCGGAUGUGAAAUCCCCGGGCUCAACCUGGGAACUGCAUUCGAAACUGGCAGGCUAGAGUCUUGUAGAGGGGGGUAGAAUUCCAGGUGUAGCGGUGAAAUGCGUAGAGAUCUGUAGGAAUACCGGUGGCGAAGGCGGCCCCCUGGACAAAGACUGACGCUCAGGUGCGAAAGCGUGGGGAGCAAACAGG
rnacentral:rRNA from 1 species